rnacentral:rRNA from 1 species
AGUGAACGCUGGCGGUAGGCCUAACACAUGCAAGUCGAACGGCAGCACAGUAAGAGCUUGCUCUUACGGGUGGCGAGUGGCGGACGGGUGAGGAAUACAUUGGAAUCUACUUUUUCGUGGGGGAUAACGUAGGGAAACUUACGCUAAUACCGCAUACGACCUACGGGUGAAAGCAGGGGAUCUUCGGACCUUGCGCGAUUGAAUGGGCCGAUGUCGGAUUAGCUAGUUGGCGGGGUAAAGGCCCACCAAGGCGACGAUCCGUAGCUGGUCUGAGAGGAUGAUCAGCCACACUGGAACUGAGACACGGUCCAGACUCCUACGGGAGGCAGCAGUGGGGAAUAUUGGACAAUGGGCGCAAGCCUGAUCCAGCCAUACCGCGUGGGUGAAGAAGGCCUUCGGGUUGUAAAGCCCUUUUGUUGGGAAAGAAAAGCAGCAGGUUAAUACCCCGCUGUUCUGACGGUACCCAAAGAAUAAGCACCGGCUAACUUCGUG